AGCCGUCAUCAGUGAUUCUUAUAUAAAUAAGGAGGGCAAGGGAGAAAGUUUUUCCUGGCAAAUCUUGGUGGAUGUGUCCGCCUCCGUCACAUCACAGUGACCAAAUUGUAGAUUUUCAUCCAAACGGAGUGAAAGAAACCCACCCAUCACAGCUGUGGUCUCAUCCGUAACCUUAAAAGGCCUGACUCCUCCGCUCACGGACUCUGUGCCUUUUAACCUUCUUCCUGAUCCUGUUUCGCAGUAAUCAGAAUAUUGCUCCAACUCACCAUUGUCAUACGCAUGUAGCAACCAACAUUGGCCAUGCGACUUCUUAACAAGGCUUCGAACCUGCGGGUUUAACGGGAGACUCCUGUAACAUCAUCCGAAAACAACAGAAGCAAGUUUCAAAUCUGCUUUGAAUCUCACUCAU